UCCUCGCUGGCGCAACCGGUAGCGCGUUCGGCUGUUAACCGGAAGGUUAGUGGUUCGAGCCCACUGUGAGGAG
rnacentral:tRNA from 1 species